AAACGACUCUCGGCAACGGAUAUCUCGGCUCUCGCAUCGAUGAAGAACGUAUCGAAAUGCGAUACUUGGUGUGAAUUGCAGAAUCCCGUGAACCAUCGAGUCUUUGAACGCAAGUUGCGCCCUAAGCCUUCUGGCCGAGGGCACGUCUGCCUGGGUGUCACAA
rnacentral:rRNA from 1 species